UCUUCGCAGAAAGAUUAAAGUAUAGAAAACUCCGAACGAAGGUCGCACACUACAACAUGUGGAACGAUAUUUUCGUCCGAAGAUCUUACACUGGUCCACAUCUCAUUCGCCUAGUGCUUGAUGCGAAAAUUACUUAACACACAAAUUAAAUCUUCUUGUAUCAAUUGUAGUAAAGAAUGUAAGUAGGGAUCCUUCUGGACCGGGGAUUAGGAGGGCUUGCUAAUAACCUCUAAACUGACUUAAAAACAUAAAAUUAAGUUUAAAACACCAAACUAGACUCAAAAGAUGCAAUACAAACUAAAAAGACUCAAAACUAGUUUAAAAGACUCAAAACAGCUUAAAAUAAUGAAUUAGACUCUAAACUGACUC
rnacentral:lncRNA from 1 species